rnacentral:rRNA from 1 species
UACGUAGGGGGCAAGCGUUGUCCGGAAUUAUUGGGCGUAAAGAGCGCGUAGGCGGUCCGAUAAGUCGGCUGUGAAAGUCAUGGGCUCAACCCAUGAAAGCCGGCCGAUACUGUCGGACUAGAGUCCGGAAGAGGCAAGUGGAAUUCCCGGUGUAGCGGUGAAAUGCGCAGAUAUCGGGAGGAAUACCGGUGGCGAAGGCGGCAUCCUGGACCGGCAUUGACGCUGAGGAGCGAAAGCUAGGGGAGCAAACGGG